rnacentral:rRNA from 1 species
UACGUAGGGGGCUAGCGUUGUCCGGAAUCAUUGGGCGUAAAGCGCGUGUAGGCGGCCCGGUAAGUCCGCUGUGAAAGUCGGGGGCUCAACCCUCGGAUGCCGGUGGAUACUGUCGGGCUAGAGUACGGAAGAGGCGAGUGGAAUUCCUGGUGUAGCGGUGAAAUGCGCAGAUAUCAGGAGGAACACCAAUGGCGAAGGCAGCACUCUGGGACGUGACUGACGCUGAGACGCGAAAGCGUGGGGAGCAAACAGG